UACAGAGGGUGCGAGCGUUGUCCGGAAUCACUGGGCGUAAAGGGCGCGUAGGUGGCGGCCCAAGUCCAUGGUGAAAGCUCGAUGCUCAACAUCGAGUCGGCCACGGAUACUGGGUUGCUCGAGCACUGUAGGGGCAGAUGGAAUUCCGGGUGUAGCGGUGGAAUGCGUAGAGAUCCGGAAGAACACCGGUGGCGAAGGCGGAUCUCUGGGCCAUUACUGACGCUGAGGAGCGAAAGCGUGGGGAGCGAACAGG
rnacentral:rRNA from 1 species